ACAGUAGACCAUUCUCACGUGCACGCAUGGCUCACGAUCAUGAUUUAGUAGUUCGAAAUGUGUUGUUAUGCUAACAGAUCGUGGGAAUUGCGCUUUCUCUGCGAGCAGUUACCACACUGAAAAUCGACUUUCUCGAGAAACUGUUGACUCCAGAAAAGCUUUACGUGAUGCAGUUAUUAUACAAGACGGCAGAGGAUGUGUGAAGAAUAUUGGAAGGUGGAUCAGGGAUUGACAUGUCAAAGUACUCUCUAGCAAAAUCUAGUGACUGCUGUGACAUUUCUUACCAGAUUUUUGAUGUUUGUUUACCAGUUUACAAUGCUUUAUACGCAUAACUCAAUCUUAACCAGUUAUAGUCAUUACCAGUUGGAUAUAACAGUGUACGCUCUAGAUGUUGAAGUAAGUAACAUGAUAAUGUUUUGUUCUUGUAUAUACGUAGUUUCAUUUGUGGUCAGUUUGAGCAUGGUAUACUAUAAGAUACUGUGAAAAAGAGGAAAUUGUGGAGGGAAUCAUGCAGGUUUUGUGCGAUUGAAGCUCAUCGCUAUUCCACAUAUAUCACACAAAUUAAUUUUGCACUAUAAUAGCGCUGUUCCCUGAAAUUGGACAAUG